GGUUUAUUGCACCAACUUUGGGGUUGCAUGAAAAGAUGCAGGGCACAUAGGCCUACCAACAUCUGAAUUUGUUACUCAAGCAGUAGGCUGGUGCUGUACAGCCACAGGAAGGAAAAUUAUUCUUUUCUCCAGAAAAUUGGAAAGCUGCUGGAGUAAUCUGGUGUUCAUGCUCAUUUGAUUCAUUUCGUGCCAGCUACUGAAAGACGUAAGGCAUGUCGAAGUUUAAUUCAAGUUGAGCUUGUGUGCUGUCUCGAAGCAAGCAAUCCAGCCGUUCAGUCAUUUGAACAGGAAUCUAAUGGCUGUCUAUAGGUGGUUGAAAUGAUGUCCACCAGGUAGCGCGAGUGUCUUCAGCAGUGACACCCAAUCACCCAAUGGCCAUUAUGAUCCCAGACGCAGCAGAGAUGGGUCGCUGGUUGUGACGUUUCUCAUGAUGAAAAUUAAAAGGUUAUUUAUCACGUAGAAACCAAUUUGCCAAAUCAUUCAAGUCAUCUCAGACUUGGAAUUGCCUGAACAUUGCCGAAAUGGCGUGCCUCGUGUGUCUCGCUGCCUGUUCUAAGGCGUACGUCUCAUCCCAUGCAACAGUAAAAAGUAUAACAAACACUUCUUUAACACUGUUGGUCACCUUGUUGCAGCCAAAUGGUGAAAGGUGUGACAAAGACAGAUUGAACUGUUGUAUGCAGCAUGAGGUUGCAGUGUAAUCCAGAAGUAGCUGUGCUGGUGUUACCCUUAAAUUGCUGUGCUGUUGUAGCUGAGCUGUUCCAUAUGGGUUCCUGACUUGAAAAUUUUUGUGUUGUUUGCCUGCCAGUAUUUUGUGUUGUGGCUUCAAAUAGUUUGAUCUGUUGUCUUUUGAGUUUUCAUUCAAUCAUGCAGUAUACAACUGAGGCAACUUGAUCAAUAUCAGGUUUGACACAGUCGAGAACUGCUAGAUAAAAAAAGCUUUCUGCGCCAAACAAAUAAUAACUUGCACUUUACUUGCAUCAUGUUAUUAUCGCGGUAGAGAAAGCAACAGGCCCCCCCUCCUGGGGGUCAUAGGAAAAAUAAUUGUAUGCAUAUUAAAAAAUAAAUUUUGUAAGCAAUAAAAUAUUUUGAUAAAAA